CGUGUCACAUGAGAAUACAACCUAGUGAAUGACUUCAUAUUUUUGGUAGUUUUUAGCGAAAUAAUUCUCCAGUUUUACUAGAAAUAAAAGUUUAAUAAUGGCGCUCAAUGAUGCAGAGGUUAAAAAACAGAUUGAGCAUAUGAUGGCUUUUAUCGAACAAGAAGCUAAAGAAAAAGCUGAGGAAAUAGACGCAAAGGCUGAGGAAGAAUUUAACAUCGAGAAAGGCCGACUGGUUCAGCAAGAAAGACUCAAGAUAAUGAAUUACUAUGAACGUAAAGAAAAACAAGUAGAGCUGCAGAAAAAAAUGUAAGACUGACCACCCCCUCCCCCACAGUAAUAUUUAGAACGUUACGAUGCCCACAAUUCUUUGUUCUUCGAGUUUCAUAUGACGUCACAAAAAUGUGUAUUCUCUAAUAUGCAUCCUAUGAUGAUAUACAGCCUUUUGCACAAAUUAUGA